UAGGGAAUCUUCCGCAAUGGACGCAAGUCUGACGGAGCAACGCCGCGUGAGUGAUGAAGGUCUUCGGAUCGUAAAACUCUGUUAUUAGGGAAGAAUAAAUGUGUAAGUAACUAUGCACGUCUUGACGGUACCUAAUCAGAAAGCCACGGCUAACUACGUGCCAGCAGCCGCGGUAAUACGUAGGUGGCAAGCGUUAUCCGGAAUUAUUGGGCGUAAAGCGCGCGUAGGCGGUUUUUUAAGUCUGAUGUGAAAGCCCACGGCUCAACCGUGGAGGGUCAUUGGAAACUGGAAAACUUGAGUGCAGAAGAGGAAAGUGGAAUUCCAUGUGUAGCGGUGAAAUGCGCAGAGAUAUGGAGGAACACCAGUGGCGAAGGCGACUUUCUGGUCUGUAACUGACGCUGAUGUGCGAAAGCGUGGGGAUCAAACAGG
rnacentral:rRNA from 1 species